rnacentral:rRNA from 1 species
UUUGAAAUCUGGUACCUUCGGUGCCCGAGUUGUAAUUUGAAGAAAGCUAUCUUGGAUUUGGCCUUUGUCUAUGUUCCUUGGAACAGGACGUCACAGAGGGUGAGAAUCCCGUGCGAUGAGGUGUCCAUUUCUAUGUAAGAUGUUUUCGAAGAGUCGAGUUGUUUGGGAAUGCAGCUCUAAGUGGGUGGUAAAUUCCAUCUAAAGCUAAAUAUUGGCGAGAGACCGAUAGCGAACAAGUACAGUGAUGGAAAGAUGAAAAGAACUUUGAAAAGAGAGUGAAAAAGUACGUGAAAUUGUUGAAAGGGAAGGGUAUUAGAUCAGACUUGGUAUUUAGUUAUCAUUGCUCCUUGUGGGUGGUGCUCUAGCUUUCUACUGGGCCAGCAUCAGUUUUGGUGGCAAGAUAAUGACAAUUUGAACGUGGCUCUUCGGAGUGUUAUAGCUUUUGUUGA